rnacentral:rRNA from 2 species
GGGGAAUAUUGCACAAUGGGCGAAAGCCUGAUGCAGCGACGCCGCGUGAGCGAUGAAGGCCUUCGGGUCGUAAAGCUCUGUCCUAUGGGAAGAUAAUGACGGUACCCUAGGAGGAAGCCCCGGCUAACUACGUGCCAGCAGCCGCGGUAAUACGUAGGGGACAAGCGUUGUCCGGAUUUACUGGGCGUAAAGGGCACGCAGGCGGUUUUUUAAGUCAGAUGUGAAAGGUACCGGCUCAACCGGUGAACAUGCAUUUGUAAACUGAAAGACUUGAGUAUUGGAGAGGCAAGUGGAAUUCCUAGUGUAGCGGUGAAAUGCGUAGAUAUUAGGAGGAACACCGGUGGCGAAGGCGGCUUGCUGGACAAAUACUGACGCUGAGGUGCGAAAGCGUGGGGAGCAAACA